CCUACGGGAGGCAGCAGUGGGGAAUUUUGGACAAUGGGCGCAAGCCUGAUCCAGCCAUGCCGCGUGCGGGAAGAAGGCCUUCGGGUUGUAAACCGCUUUUGUCAGGGAAGAAAUCCCUUGAGCUAAUACCUCGGGGGGAUGACGGUACCUGAAGAAUAAGCACCGGCUAACUACGUGCCAGCAGCCGCGGUAAUACGUAGGGUGCAAGCGUUAAUCGGAAUUACUGGGCGUAAAGCGUGCGCAGGCGGUUAUGUAAGACAGGUGUGAAAUCCCCGGGCUUAACCUGGGAACUGCACUUGUGACUGCAUAGCUUGAGUGCGGCAGAGGGGGAUGGAAUUCCGCGUGUAGCAGUGAAAUGCGUAGAUAUGCGGAGGAACACCGAUGGCGAAGGCAAUCCCCUGGGCCUGCACUGACGCUCAUGCACGAAACGACGGUGGGGAGGACGAAACGAAGGAGUUAGUAUACCCUACGGUAGUACCGACCGACCCGUAAACCGAACUAGUCUAACUAGGUUGGUUGGUACGGUCGUUGUCGUGUUCGUA
rnacentral:rRNA from 1 species